rnacentral:rRNA from 1 species
AGAGUUUGAUCCUGGCUCAGGACGAACGCUGGCGGCGUGCCUAAUACAUGCAAGUAGAACGCUGAAGACUUUAGCUUGCUAGAGUUGGAAGAGUUGCGAACGGGUGAGUAACGCGUAGGUAACCUGCCUACUAGCGGGGGAUAACUAUUGGAAACGAUAGCUAAUACCGCAUAAUAGUGUUUAACACAUGUUAGAGACUUGAAAGAUGCAAUUGCAUCACUAGUAGAUGGACCUGCGUUGUAUUAGCUAGUUGGUGGGGUAACGGCCUACCAAGGCGACGAUACAUAGCCGACCUGAGAGGGUGAUCGGCCACACUGGGACUGAGACACGGCCCAGACUCCUACGGGAGGCAGCAGUAGGGAAUCUUCGGCAAUGGGGGCAACCCUGACCGAGCAACGCCGCGUGAGUUAAGAAGGUUUUCGGAUCGUAAAGCUCUGUUGUAAGAGAAGAACGUGUGUUAAAUGGAAAGUUCACACAGUGACGGUAACUUACCAGAAAGGGACGGCUAACUACGUGCCAGCAGCCGCGGUAAU